GUGAGGCGGAGCAAACACAAAACACAGUCUCAGUUCAGAUUGUAGGCUGAAACUCGCCUAUAUGAAGUCGGAAUUGCUAGUAAUCGCGGAUCAGCAUGCCGCGGUGAAUACGUUCCCGGGCCUUGUACACACCGCCCGUCACACCAUGAGAGUCGAUAACACCCGAAGCCUGUAGUCUAACAGCAAUGAGGACGCAGUCGAAGGUGGGAUUGAUAAUUAGGGUGAAGUCGUAACAAGGUACC
rnacentral:rRNA from 1 species